rnacentral:pre_miRNA from 1 species
ACCACAACAUUCGGACCGUCGGUCUACCGAGCAAUAUCACCCGCUCGGUGGAAGAUCUUCCCUUUGUCGUCUAAU